rnacentral:rRNA from 1 species
AGAGCGAACGCUGGCGGCAGGCCUAACACAUGCAAGUCGAACGGACCCUUCGGGGUUAGUGGCGGACGGGUGAGUAACACGUGGGAACGUGCCUUUAGGUUCGGAAUAGCUCCUGGAAACGGGUGGUAAUGCCGAAUGUGCCCUUCGGGGGAAAGAUUUAUCGCCUUUAGAGCGGCCCGCGUCUGAUUAGCUUGUUGGUGAGGUAAUGGCUCACCAAGGCUACGAUCAGUAGCUGGUCUGAGAGGAUGACCAGCCACAUUGGGACUGAGACACGGCCCAAACUCCUACGGGAGGCAGCAGUGGGGAAUCUUGCGCAAUGGGCGAAAGCCUGACGCAGCCAUGCCGCGUGUAUGAUGAAGGUCUUAGGAUUGUAAAAUACUUUCACCGGUGAAGAUAAUGACUGUAGCCGGAGAAGAAGCCCGGCUAACUCGUGCCAGCAGCCGC